rnacentral:rRNA from 1 species
UAAGGAAUAUUGGUCAAUGGACGCAAGUCUGAACCAGCCAUGCCGCGUGAAGGAUGAAGGUCCUCUGGAUUGUAAACUUCUUUUAUCUGGGACGAAAACGGGAUUUUUAUCUCAAUUGACGGUACCAGAGGAAUAAGCACCGGCUAACUCCGUGCCAGCAGCCGCGGUAAUACGGAGGGUGCGAGCGUUAUCCGGAUUUACUGGGUUUAAAGGGUGCGUAGGUGGGCUUAUAAGUCAGUGGUGAAAUCUCCGAGCUUAACUUGGAAACUGCCGUUGNUACUAUAGGUCGUGAAUUAUCUGGAGGUAAGCGGAAUAUGUCAUGUAGCGGUGAAAUGCUUAGAUAUGACAUAGAACACCAAUUGCGAAGGCAGCUUACUACAUAUAAAUUGACGCUGAGGCACGAAAGCGUGGGGAUCAAACA